CAGUGGCGAACGGGUGAGUAACACGUGAGCAACCUGCCCUGGACUCUGGGAUAAGCGCUGGAAACGGCGUCUAAUACUGGAUAUGAGCCUCUUCCGCAUGGUGGGGGUUGGAAAGAUUUUUUGGUCUGGGAUGGGCUCGCGGCCUAUCAGCUUGUUGGUGAGGUAAUGGCUCACCAAGGCGUCGACGGGUAGCCGGCCUGAGAGGGUGACCGGCCACACUGGGACUGAGACACGGCCCAGACUCCUACGGGAGGCAGCAGUGGGGAAUAUUGCACAAUGGGCGAAAGCCUGAUGCAGCAACGCCGCGUGAGGGAUGACGGCCUUCGGGUUGUAAACCUCUUUUAGCAGGGAAGAAGCGAAAGUGACGGUACCUGCAGAAAAAGCGCCGGCUAACUACGUGCCAGCAGCCGCGGUAAUACGUAGGGCGCAAGCGUUAUCCGGAAUUAUUGGGCGUAAAGAGCUCGUAGGCGGUUUGUCGCGUCUGCUGUGAAAUCCCGAGGCUCAACCUCGGGCCUGCAGUGGGUACGGGCAGACUAGAGUGCGGUAGGGGAGAUUGGAAUUCCUGGUGUAGCGGUGGAAUGCGCAGAUAUCAGGAGGAACA
rnacentral:rRNA from 1 species